rnacentral:siRNA from 1 species
UAAGAUGUUUGCUAAGAUUU